GACAUAGGUGGCGAACGUUAUCCGGAUUUAUUGGGCGUAAAGCGCGCGCAGGUGGUGCGGUAAGUCUGCCGUGAAAUCUCCCGGCUCAACUGGGAGGGGGCGGUGGAGACUGCCGGACUGGAGGGACUCAGAGGCCGGUGGAAUUCCCGGUGUAGCGGUGAAAUGCGUAGAGAUCGGGAGGAACACCAGUGGCGAAGGCGGCCGGCUGGGGGUGCCCUGACGCUGAGGCGCGAAAGCGUGGGGAGCGAACCGG
rnacentral:rRNA from 1 species